AGCUCCAAUAGCGUAUAUUAAAGUUGUUGCAGUUAAAAAGCUCGUAGUUGGAUUUGUGGUGUACGAAGGCGGCCCGUCACAUUGUGGCGGUGCUUGCCUUUGUCGCCAUCCUUGGGUGGAUCCUGUGUGGCAUUAAGUUGUCGUGCAGGGGAUGCCCAUCGUUUACUGUGAAAAAAUUAGAGUGUUCAAAGCAGGCUUAUGCCGUUGAAUAUGUUAGCAUGGAAUAAUAAGAUAGGACCUUGGUACUAUUUUGUUGGUUUGCGCACCAAGGUAAUGAUUAAUAGGGACAGUUGGGGGUAUUCGUAUUUCAUUGUCAGAGGUGAAAUUCUUGGAUUUUUGAAAGACGAACUACUGCGAAAGCAUUUACCAAGGAUGUUUUCA
rnacentral:rRNA from 1 species